rnacentral:lncRNA from 1 species
UGUAAUUUGCAAAGUUAUCAAAUUCUUAAAGUAUGUGAUCUGAAAAAUAUCACAUACUUUGAUUGCACUGAAAAUGUAAGAUAUUAUAUGAUAAAUACUGGGUAUGCAACAAAAUAAUAAAUUUCUGCAUUUACUUAGCUGAACAAGACAGUGCAUAUCUGUAUUUAAUAAAAUGACAAGUAUGUUACACCCUGAAAAUUUGAACACAAAAUGUGAAGCAGCCUAUAAAUGCAAAACAGAGCCUUAUAAAUGUGACACUAAAAACCUUGGAUCAACAUUUCUAUUGAGUGAGCUAUUGAGCGUUUCAUACAUGCGGAAACUCUGUCUGAUCUUCAUAAAGAAAGGCACAAUAUCUGUUAGUAACUGAAGCCUGUCUAAACUGGAAUCUCAUAAAAACCGGCAAAAUUUUAUGGUCCUGACUUUUCUAAAUUUUAAAACUGGACCCUCUAAACAGCGUAUCCUGUCUAAAUGUGAUAAAUAUUAGGUCCCCAGCAGGAUCCGGUUUAGACAGGUUUCACUGUAUAAAUAAAUGUGAUAAAUAUUAGGUCCCCUGCAUGAUCCGGUUUAGACCGGUUUCACUGUACAACCAUGGGAAUAAAUGUUACAAUCUGAUAAAUAUUAGGUCACCGACAUGAUCCGGUUUAGACAGGUUUCACUGUACAACCAUGGGAAUAAAUGUUACAAUCUGAUAAAUAUUAGGUCACCGACAUGAUCCGGUUUAGACCGGUUUCACUGUACAACCAUGGGAAUAAAUGUUACAAUCUGAUAAAUAUUAGGUCACCGACAUGAUCCGGUUUAGACAGGUUUCACUGUACAACCAUGGGAAUAAAUGUUACAAUCUGAUAAAUAUUAGGUCACCGACAUGAUCCGGUUUAGACAGGUUUCACUGUACAACCAUGGCAAUAAAUGUUACAAUUUUUAUAAUGAUGUUUUUGUAUACGGUAAGUGUGUUCUGUUGAAAGCAUCCAUGUUAGCUCAAGAAUUUCAUCAUCAAAUUAUUGACAUUCUGCGAUGAAGAAAUCCAAACACAAUCAGAAUUUUCCAUUGUUUGAUUACACAUUGUUUUUCAUUACUUUUAUUAGACAAGUGAUAACAGAAUAGUUGUUGAAAAAUAUGUGUUGGUGAUGGCAUCAUCAUACAAACAAGGUAUGAGUCUAUAAUCAGGGGUAGGUGCAAGAGUAUAGAUAAAUCUAAUUGAAAUUUUACUUCACAAAGAGUUGUGAAUUUUUGUAGUGUUGUUAGUGACUCCCCCCCCCCCUUCCCCCAAGAUGAAUAUUGCUUAAGCUUUGCUUCUUUUGUAUUUUUACUGUAAACAUAGGAUGGAAUAUUAAAACUUACUGUGCUUCACUGAGAAAAUAAACACCUUUAGUUAAUUCUGUUGACAUCAAGAUAAAAAAAAAAGAGAGUUAAAAAUUACUUUCUACUUUUGACUCAAUUCUCAGUCUGACUGUCAUAUAGAAUGGUAUAGAAAGGGGUUUCACAAAUCACUGUAGAUAAAGAACCACAAGAAUUGCUUUCUACAUGUCUUUUUAAUAGAACUUUCCCCAUGACCUUACUUGGUAAAUGUUUAAAUCGUGAAACCUAGUACUGUAAUAAUGUUGGCUUGUUUAUUUGUUUAUUGUGUCAUCAUUGUUUCACAAUCAUGCUAUUUGUGGCUAUAUAUUGUUAUUUUCAAUAUUAAGUUAUUGUAUUUAUAUUAAAGAAUGCUUAUUUUCUUCUUGAA